CAACAUUUCCGUACGAUAAAUAACACUUCAAAAAUGCUCAAAAUUUGCCUCCAGAAUGUUGUGAGAGCUGAGAGGAAAACAAACUGUCAAGGACGCGCCCUAAGCAAGUGGGACGACCUUGAAAAAUACCCCUUCAAAAAUUGAAAAUUUUUUCAAAUUGUUUUUAAAAAAUCUCAAAUAUUUUUUACGGUAGACGCCAAGAGCAAGUUUUGCGCUCACUUUCCAAAAUUAAGAAAAAUCUUCCAAAGAUCUUCAUUGAACUCGAGGAUACGCCCUUAGCAAGUUGAACGAUCUCGACUGUUUGCCAUAAUUAUGUUUCGUUGGAUUCCGUAGGAUGAGUAACACUUGAAAAAUUACAAUUUCCACAAAAUUUUCGUCAGCCGCCCUAAGCAAGUGCUGCGACCACCUCAAAAUUUUCAAAAUUCAAACAAGUUCCGCAAUCUUUUCAAAAAAUAAACAUUCUUUGAAGGUAAAACGUCUAAAUUCGCGCUGGGUAAGCUCCGCGUUCAGCAAGGCAAAACGUCAAAGAUGCGCCCUAAGCAAGCGGUGCGACCAACUCGCAUCUACUUCGGUGAUUGGCCUGCUUGUUGUUGUCCAACACCUGCUGCUGUCGUCGGCACUGACAAAAAAUAUCAACGCAAGAAAAUAUUUUCCAAAAAUCGAACUUUCGCGUUACAUUUCCCUCUUUCCACACAAAACAGAAAUAAAAACUAUUUUUUUUAACGUUGAAUUAGUUAUGUAGGGCAACGUCCAUCAUCCUGCUUUGUUGUUAUAGCACGACGACGACACAAACACAAACAAAUCAGUUGACGUUUGUUUAUUUUUUUCUCUUUUUGAAACAUAAUUUGAGUUUGGUUUGAGUGACGAACGAGUGAUUUUUUUUUUUUUUUGAGUGAAUGAACAACGCAUGAUAGUGAGCGGAAGAAGAAGAAGAAAAACGUAGUGGUAGAAGAAGCAGUGACGAUAAGAGAGCAAGAGAAGAAGAAAACAUACAAAAUAAAACAAAAAAUGAUGUACUAGAUUAGCGCCCAGAGAUUAGUUCAUUAGUUGAUACACAAGAAAAAAAACUAAAACUGGUUUAGAAGAGAUCAUAUGCGAUCAUGAGAUACGCGCGCACGGUGGUAAUGACUCUGAUGAGAUGAGAAGAAUAAUACUACACAACAAGGAUUAAGAAAAGUAAUUAGAGAAAAAAAAUCGCAAUUGAACGUGAUUUUUUUUAAAUGAUCAAUGAUUAGUUAUUAUUUUCUUGAGACGAGAAAUCUCUUAAAAAUAUAUUUUCUGACGAUUUAUUUUUUUGCUGAUAGAAUUUCCUUUAUUUUUUAUUAUUACUAAUUAAUGUUAAGCAUGAUUUACACUGAGAAAGAGAGAGCGAGAGAGAGAGAGAGCGCUAGGAAUGCCUGCAAAACAAUGACGAGAGAAGCGUUGAGAGCCGCUUUGCGCGGUGGUGUGCGUGAGAAGUGAGCGAUACUACAAACACAAGUAAGAAAUUAUUUAGUGGUAAGCGUGCAAGCGACAGAACUUGAAAUUGAAUAAACUUGACAAACAAAAAAACUAACAAGCGCGCGGGCGAGAAUGUUGAGAGCAAAUGCGUGAAAUAAGAGCAGAAAUUAAAGCAUUGAAUAAGAUACAAGUUGAUCGUAAGUUUAGCUAACACACGGACACACUUAUCUCUCAAUGUAAAUAUUAACGGAAGGAAACAAAAAAAAAAAGAUUCGAAAACUAAGAAAAAAUCAUCCCCUAGAGACAAAACGCAGACACAUAAAACGCGCAGUUUUCCCCCCGGUUGCGAUUUCCGCGAGCGCGGCAAAUUUAGGGGGGACAAACCGUUUUUUUUUUUCGAAAAAAAUAGAAAUGUGAGAGUUCGGUUGAAAGAAAAGAACAGAAAAUGAACAAAAAAUAUACUUAUAAAUAAUGGAAAACACGCAUUAUAAACAAAUUAUUACAAAAAAGUAAAUAAUUAACAAGUAAGUUUUAGUGAAAAUAAACAGCCAGAUAAAUUAAAACAAAAGUAACAUAGAGAGAAAGAGUUGACGGUGGAAAGAUAAGAACAAAACAAAAUGGAAGAAAACAAAAACUCUUGAACUCUUGCACUCUAAGCAAACAGAAAACAUUGAAAAGCAGUGAAAAAACAAGAAAUCCAACACGUUGAUCCAAAUAUUUAAGAGAGAAUGAGUAAAAAAUAACACCCACACAAACAAGCAGUGAACGCAACAGCAUCAACAGUGGUCAUAGAAAAAGACACCAUCCACAAAAAAAUAAACACUCACAAAAUGAAGAAGUAAAAAAAAACACUUUGUUGAGCGAAGAAUGAGAGCGCAAGCAAGCAGAAAAAAAAUCCA